rnacentral:rRNA from 1 species
UUUUGUGACGGUACCUAGAUAAGAAGCACCGGCUAACUACGUGCCAGCAGCCGCGGUAAUACGUAGGGUGCGAGCGUUGUCCGGAAUUACUGGGCGUAAAGAGCUCGUAGGUGGUUUGUCGCGUCGUCUGUGAAAUUCCGGGGCUUAACUUCGGGCGUGCAGGCGAUACGGGCAUAACUUGAGUGCUGUAGGGGAGACUGGAAUUCCUGGUGUAGCGGUGGAAUGCGCAGAUAUCAGGAGGAACACCGAUGGCGAAGGCAGGUCUCUGGGCAGUAACUGACGCUGAGGAGCGAAAGCAUGGGGAGCGAACAGGAUUAGAUACCCUGGUAGUCCAUGCCGUAAACGGUGGGCGCUAGGUGUGAGGGUCUUCCACGACUUUCGUGCCGUAGCUAACGCAUUAAGCGCCCCGCCUGGGGAGUACGGCCGCAAGGCUAAAACUCAAAGGAAUUGACGGGGGCCCGCACAAGCGGCGGAGCAUGUGGAUUAAUUCGAUGCAACGCGAAGAACCUUACCUGGGCUUGACAU